GAUGAACGCUGGCGGCGUGCCUAAUACAUGCAAGUCGAGCGAACAGACGAGGAGCUUGCUCUUCUGACGUUAGCGGCGGACGGGUGAGUAACACGUGGAUAACCUACCUAUAAGACUGGGAUAACUUCGGGAAACCGGAGCUAAUACCGCAUAAUAUAUUAAACUGCAUGGUUCAAUAGUAAAAGACGGAUUUGCUGUACCAUCUAAUUGAAUCGGGGCCGAUUUACUAGUUGGUGAGGGAACCGGCUACCCAGGGCGCCAUUGCUUAGCCGCCCUGGGAGGGGGACCGCCCACACUGGACCUGAGACACGGCCCAGACUCCUACGGGAGGCAGCAGUAGGGAAUCUUCCGCAAGGGGCGAAGUCCGGACGGAGCAACGCGGCGGGAUUGAUGAAGUUCUUCGGAUCGUAAACCUCUGUUAUUAGGGAAGAACAAAGGUGUAAGUAACUAUGCACGCCUUGACGGUACCUAAUCAGAAAGCCACGGCUAACUACGUG
rnacentral:rRNA from 1 species